rnacentral:lncRNA from 1 species
GUCUUCCCGCUUCCUCCAUGCGCCGGCGUUUUCCCUUCUCCUCCCGACGUCGGCGUCUUCUUUCUGUGUCAUCCUUUCACCCCCGCGGCCAGCGUCUUCUCCCCCUUCGCUUCGCUGCAGCCGCCCCAGCAACCCUCUCCCGUACCUCCUCCUCCCUCUCCUUCUCGUCGGAUCCUUCAUCCUUGCCCCCCUCCCAACUGACAGCAACCCCCUCUUCAUCCUCCUCCUUCUACGUAAAUUGUUUUAUUAAUAUAGAUUUGAACAAGCAUUAUUUGGUCCUUUAAAUGAAUACUAUGUUUCUUUUUUUGUUUUAGCGAUUAUAUCUAUUAAUCAUGAUGUAUACUUUUAAAAUUUUAAGAAGCAUCUCUCUUCACUCGGGCCAGCGUCUCGGGCGUUUUGAUACCUUGGCGGCGUUUUAACACCUUGGCGUCGUUUAAUGUCUGUCGACCUCGAGCACACUGCUAGAGAAACAACUUGGUUCACAUGUUUGGUUCCAUUUAAUUAUUCGGACCCAUGCAUGUUGCCAAACUUUGUCGAUGUUAGUUUUCAUGCUUGGUCCUUUUAUGUGCAUAUUUGAAUUCAUCUGAACCAAAUUGAGCACAUCACAGCUCCACAAAAAAUCAUUGAAUUUGAGCUGCAUUGGUUAUAUAUGUAUUCUAAAAAUGUUAUGAGAUUCAAGUGAGAUUGUCAUGAUUCAAUUUUAACCUAAACAUGUUUCAGCUGCAUUCCCUCACAUCAAGUUCUAUGCUUAAACUAACCUGUCCGUGAGUCCCUCAUGCAUAAAUGUCUGCCUGCAUGUACACGUUUGAUUGCAUGCCAUUAUUUUAUUAUAUCAAUCUUUUGAUCCCAUUAUUAAUUUUUUGUUGCUUACCACAUAAGUCGGUCGGUUCUCAAAUGGUUAUGAAUGCCAAAUAAGUUUGUAAUAUGACUUUUGAUUAUCGUUACCUAUUUGUUGCUCAGACAUAAUAAUACAUGUGCAAUUUAGUUAUCAGAUAAAACCACGCACAUGGGAGCAUUGCACAUAUUUCCUGUCUGUUUUUGGCUCUUGUGGUAACUUCAUCAAAUGCGUGCUGAUUCUGGUGUCUUGCAUUGAACCACAGUAAUGAAUUGUUGGACCUCCUUUCGCAUGUAUACUAAUUAUACAUACAGAAUGCAUUUAUAUAUUCAAUUUUGAGGCUAAGAGAUUGUCUAUAUUAAUGGAUUUGGAGAGGGCAGUUAGGUACUAGAAGCUAUUAGGACCUGUCACUGUCUCUUAAUGCUAUCCUCUGUCACUAAAAGUACAAGCUGAGUGAACAAUUAGAAUGUGACAUGAUUUCCAAACCCCAAAAUAGACCCAAAAUCUCAAUGUGUUUGGUUAGGUAUAACCUUACAUCUUUAUGUCGGCAUAAUGUGGUCUCCUCUGCAGGCUGAUAGUAACUCUCUUGGCAACUUGAUACAUGUUUGUACAUCAAAGCAUAUCGGUGUGCUUAUAUUUGAAUUACCAUUCUUGUAUUUAUACUAGUAGCAAUAGAAAAACAUUUAAAUGUUCUUAAUUCAACCACAGGUGUUUUCUUACACAGAGUUCAUUGACGCAAAAGAUGCAUAUAGCUGAUCAUGAAUAGUUACAUUAUGACUUUUAUUGUUGUUGUGCUUGUUUGCACUUGCUGGUUUUAUUGGAAAAUUCUCACUGAUCUAGGCUAUGUUGGUGAAACUUCUCAAUAAGAAAUAUUUUUUUCUUUAUUAAUGACAUCAAGAUAUUUUCUAAUACUGUAGCUGAAGCUAUUUGCACGAGCAGUCUUUCUAUAAAAUUAAGUUCCUUUAUCAACAUAGAACCAAAUAAACUAGUAGCAUUUCUUGAUCAAGGCAGCUUUCUUACCUCUUGGUUCAUUUUUCAGAAAAUUUGUUGCCUUUCUCAGGUCUUUCAUCGAAGUUGUAAUUUUUUGUCAAGUUGUAUUAACAAUGGCAUCUUUAGCAUGUUGAACCUCACAGGUAACUUUUUUGUUAAUUUCUUAAACAGUGUAUUUUCUAGUUACCUGUCUUUCUAGACUUGUAACUAGGUCAUCUCUUUACAUUCAUGAUGAAAAGGUUCAAUUAUUCUGCAAGUGCUCACUUGAAAUGUUUCAGGUUUUAGUUGUAGUAGGACAUUAGUGAAUCUGAUGUUAGAUAAAACAGUAUGCAUCUUUGACUUAGUCUGAAUUCUGAAGUACCCCUUGCAAGUCAUUGACUGAUGUUCAACCUAUUAGUACAAACUUGAAUAUCAUCCAUAUAUGAUCAACGUAAUGAAUGCCAUUGCCACUCUUAUGCAGCAUGUUUGAUGAAGAUACAUUUGAUAUGAUUUUCUAAUUGCUGCUGGGAUAUAGUGUGCUUCACAGUUUCUAAAGCUCCUAACUACAAUAGAGAAAUAAUGGAAGGUAGUGUCAGUGCGCAUGUGUCACAUCAAGCCAUUGUUUCAGUGGUGUAGAAUUGCAAGGAUGGAAGUGUGAUAAUAAGUAAAUUAUCCAAGGUAUUCUUAAUCAACUCUCAUACACAAUUUAGAGAUUUAUUUCUGAAAGAAAUGGCUUAUGGAAACUGAAUGCAGGUGGAUUAACAUGAGUGGUAGAGGAAUGUCGUCGGAUCAGAUGAUUAGUUGAAAGUUUUCAACUUCCUUCUGGUUGGAAGCAGAUACAGAAAAUAUAUAUAGUUUUGGUGCCCUCGAUUUGAGGUAGAAGAGGAAUCUGAACAUAGAGCAUCCAGCAAUAAGACUACUUUUCUUGUAUUUUUCUGCAAACAGUACGUGAUACUGCUUCAAAAGAUCAUGUUUUUGGUGCAAAAGAGGCUCUUUUGCUAUCUGCCAAGUAACAAGUCCACUAUCCAUCUUUCCUCCUAUCAACUUUGCGGUCUGUUUAACUUCUCCACUGCUAAAGACCAAAGUUCAGAGCAUAGUUCCAACUUUAUAGUGGUCGACUCCCUUCAUUCAUGUGAACUUUCCUCAGAGAAGGCUGCAAAAAAAGCCAAGUAUCACACCUGUCACAAAAAUUCUUCGAGUCUUUCCAUUGAGUUCUUUAAGCAGAGCGGUUGGAGUGAUGCACAAGUCAUGAAACUUAUCCGGAAGUCACCGCUGUUGCUGCGUACUAAGGUAGAGACUGCCCUGAAGCCCAGAAUGAGAUCUUUGAAGGACAUGGGAUUUUCUGACACUGAAAUAGUUCAGCUGGUUUCAUCAUGUCCAUCUGUACUCCUUUUACGUGAUAUCCAACCAAAGAUCGACUUCUGGAGGUCACUACUUGGUUCUAAUGAGAGGUUACUGAAUGCCUCUAGGAGGAACAUGUUUCUACUUGGUUCUAGCAUGGAUCGGAAGAUAGAACCUAAUGUAUCUCUCUUAAGGGAAUGUGGCAUCAGUGACAAACGCAUCGUGUAUAUGGUGAUGACAACGCCGGCCAUUAUGGGUCGAUCAAACAAAUAUAUGAAGGAAGCUAUCAAAUUAGUUAAGGAGUUGGGUGUGCCAUGUAACUGUAGAAUGUUCCCUUAUGCACUUAGUAUGGUCACCGGCAUGAGCCGAUCCAGGUUUUAUGAUACCUUUGCAACCCUGAUGAACUUUGGGUUCUCCCUGCAAGACAUCAUAGCUGCAUUCAGGAAGCAUCCAACCAUUUGGUAUUUGUCGAAGAAGAACAUAUGUGACAAGAUGACUUUCCUGUUGAAGGAAGCUGGUUGUGAGCUGACAUAUAUCAUUUCCCAUCCUGUGAUUCUUGCAUACAGCUUGGAGAAGAGGUUGAAACCUCGAUAUGCAAUUCUGAAUUUUCUUGAGCAGAAUAAAUUGCUGGAUAAAGUAUAUAGCCUGAUGUCCGUGAUAAUGCUAUCGGAAAAGAAGUUCCAAAAUAAAUUUCUUUUCCUGCUUCGCGAGGAGAAAUCUAUUGCUCUAUAUGAUUCCUAUUUGAAAUCUGUUGCUCAAUAGGAUUCCUAUGUUGCUGCUGGGCAUGGAAAGCACCAUGUUGUUUGGGAAAAUUAGGAUUGCAUGUGCUUCCUCAGACAAAGUGUCAACUUAUUGCACACUUAUUUAAUCAUGUUAAAUUUGUGACAAUUUAAAUUCUCCAAGGAGCUUCUUUUCUUUUAUUCUUUGGUACAACAAAAGAUACGGAUUCUUUUAUGCAGAAAUAUAGUGAACCAACGGGGAGAAGUCUUACUUAAGAAAGAUAUAAAGGUAACUAAAAUGUUUCAACUCUGUCAGCUAUCUGUGUCAACUUGGCAUCAGUCGUAUUAAUUUAGAUGAUUAAGAACUUGUUAAUUAUGUGAGUAUGAAUAGGGACUAAUAUAUGAUAGUAAAGAGUUAAUUGUGUGAGGGCUUUCUUUGUCAGAAUCCCAUCACCUCUCCACCGGCUCUAAAUUACAUCUCUAUUUAUAUGGAAUGAAACCUCUAUUGUUACAUGUUGUUAAUCAUGCACUAAUAUAUGAUAGUUAAGUGUGAUUUAUUGAAGAUAUCGAUUUACUAUAUACUAUUGUUGAAAAAUGAACCCACGAGAGUAAUACCUUUCGAUUUAUUGUUGGAGCGCACUAACGAAUAUUCAGUUAUGCAAAGAUGAUUAUUAUAAUAUGAUGAUUGAAUUUUGUGUAUACUAUGGUACAUUAGUGCAUGUGGCAAUUAUGAGAUUUAUUAGAUAGUAUCAACAUGCACUAUUGUAAGAGGCCCCGUGAGAUCAACGUGCACUAUUGUGAGAUUUAUUAUAUAGUAUCAACUGUCACCUCUCUCUCCCUCUCUCUCUCUCUUUCUCAGCCCGUGACUGCAUGCAUGCAUCCCAAUAUUCGUUCUAGUCAUCGUUCUAGUCAUAUCCAGACAUACUCACACAUUAAGAAUUUAAGAGUCAUCGGUUCAUCUCAAGCUUGCUUCUUAAUGUUCAAUUUAAUGCACUAAGCAAUAGAUAUGGUUUAAGGUAACAACACUCUCUCGAGUGAAGUGAACGGGUCUCGGCGCCCCCCUGAUUCAAAUCAGAGAGGACUAUAUUGGAUCUGAGCACAACAUAAGUCACUGGAUCUGGUUCGAUGGAACCAAAUGAAGGACUCUCCUCUCUCACACACAACUAUAUCAAUGGCCACGCGUCCAAUGAGAAGACUCGUGGAAACCUAAUCAGCCACCGGCGGCACCGUCUUCCUCUCCAUCCGCGAAUGGCGGCGGCAGCAAUGUCUUCCUCAGCGGGCUCAUCGUUGGUAUCUUUCUCCUCCUCCUCCUCCUCCUCAUCCUUUGCCGUCGCCCACUCUGCCCCAACCGCCUCCCUCCAUCUUCCCGCCCCCACCUUCGCCGUAGCCCCCCCGCGACCGGCGUCUGCCCCUGCCUCUUCCUUUCCCCUCGUCGUAGCCGUCUUACCCCUUCCUUCCUGCGCCGGCGUUUUCCCUUCUCCUCCCUACGUCGGCGUCUUCUUUCAUUGUAUCAUCCUUUCACCCCCGCAGCGUCUUCUCCCCCCUUCGCUUCGCUGCAGCCGCUUGAUAAGACCCUAAGGUUUUAUCAGGGAAAAAAUUGGGAGAAAAGGGGACGAUCACUUCGAGAUGAUCGGCCUCCUUGAUCACUUCGAGGGGAUCGUCGACGGGAACUUGUCUUCGUGCCCGGCACCCAGUGUGCAGCUGUUUGUUCAACAUUCUAAAGUUUUUGUUUUUCUCAUUUAUCUCUUUUCUCUUAUGCACGCAAAGUGUUCGCUGAAUGGCUUUUAAAGCUUUUCUUUUUGUGGGACGUCGGGACUUGUCCGUUGUUUAUUCUUCGAACUAAUCAACUUUUUCUUAUGCACGCAAGGUGUUCGCUGACCUUUGCGGACACAUAUCACAAGGGCACGUCAUGACUUUGGCAAUCCCAAUUAAGUCCAAGAAGUUGACGCAACGGCGCUUUGCGACUUAGGCAACUCAAGCCAAAUUUGUGUCUUGGCCGCAAGGGUGCCUCACGACUUAGGCAAUUCCAGUUAAGUCCGUGACAAGGCGACGGUGAAGAAGGAGGCAACGAGGGUCACGGUUGGGAUGUGUUGGCCGGGAGCAGUGGCGGUGGCGGUUGCUGGCCGAAGAUGCAAGGCUGACCCUGUUUUGGUCGCCGCGAGGAGGAGAGGUCGAGCGGCUGCGGUUGCGAUUGCGACCCAAGGGGGGGCGGGCGACGGUGGAGAAGGAGGCAGCGAGGUUCACGACUGGGAGGUGGGCGACGGUCAUCGUUGGCCGGGAACUUGCUGUGGUGGAGAGGGGAAAGAGGGAUGCUCUGUUUCUAUCGCACCACAGCAGGAGCCACUGGCGAUGUCGAAGGAUCGCGAGCGGUUGAGGAGAAGGCUGGCAACGGUGGUGGCUCGGGUGGGAGGUGACGGGCGACGGUGGACUCUGGCCGGGGAGCGGGGCUGUGGUGGGAUGGGACAUUGGCAGCGUCGUCUCCUGGCAGCGGUGGUGGCUUGGGUGGGAGGCAACAGGCGAUGGUGGACUCCGGCCGGGAAGCAGGGCGGUGGUGGUAGCGGCGGUGGGGUUGGUUGGAAGUAGGGAAAGUAUGAGCCCUUUCCACCAGCGACAGUGGUGGAGGAGAGGGGAAGCAGGGGUUCUCGGUUGUGCGUGGCUGCGCCCCCUUUUUUUUUUUUUAUGAUAACUACAACGAGGACUCCGAGGAUCGCUGCUCUGAUACCAAAUGAUAAGACCCUAGGGUUUUAUUAUGGAAAAAAAGGGAGAAAAGGGGAUGAUCACUUCGAGGGGAUCGACCUCCUAGGGUUUGUCAAAAGACUUAAUAAUAUUUCAUUGUCUCCGAAAAGAAACGAUUACAUCAUUAUUUAUAGAGUUCCACUUAGAAUCCAUCACGACUUGGACUCUUAAUAAUAAAUAAAUAUUAAAUAAAUUUCUAUCCGAUUCUAACUGAAUUAAACAUACUCAAUAAACAUUAUUCAAAAGUUUAGAAAAUAAAAAGGAUCCUAACAUCGCCCCAGCAACCCAACCGACAUUGACAACCAUUCUAACCCGUACCUCCUCCUCCUCCUCGGAUCCUUCAUCCUUGACCCCCUCCCAACUGACAACAACCCCCUCUUCAUCCUCCUCCUUCUAUGUAAAUUGUUUUAUUAAUAUAGAUUUGAACAAGUAUUAUUUGGUCCUUUAAAUGAUUACCAUGUUUCUUUUUUUGUUUUAGCGAUUAUAUCUAUUAAUCAUGAUAUAUACUUUUAAAAUUUUAAGAAGCAUCUCUCUUCACUUGGGCCAGCGCCUAGCCAAGCACCUAGCAUCUCAGGCGUUUUGACACUUUGGCGUCGUUUAGUGUCUCUCACCCGCGACCACACUGCUAUAGCACAACUUGGUUCACUUGUUUGGUUCCAUUUAAUUAUUCAGACCCAUGCAUGUUGCCACACUUGGUUGAUGUUAGUUUUCAUGCUUGGUCCUUUAUGUGCAUGUUUGAAUUCAUCUGAACCAAAUUGAGCACAUCACAGCUCCACAAAAAAAUCAUUGGAUUUGAGCUGCAUUGGUUAUAUAUGUAUUCUAAAAAUGUUAUGAGAUUCAAGUGAGAUUGUCUUGAUUCAAUUUUAACCUAAACAUGUUUCAGCUGCAUUCCCUCGCAACAAGUUCUAUGCAUAAACUAACCUGUCCAUGAGUCCCUCAUGCAUAAUGUCUGCCUGCAUAUACAUGUUUGAUUGCAUGCCAUUAUCUUAUUGUAUCAAUCUUUUGAUCCUAUUAUUAUUUUUUUUGUUGCUUACCACAUAAGUCGGUUGGUUCUAAAAUGGUUAUGAAUGGCAAAGAAGUUUGUAAUAUGACUUUUGUUUAUCGUUACCUAUUUGUUGCUCAGACAUAAUAAUAUAUGUGCAAUUUAGUUAUCAGAUAGAACCACACACAUGGGAACAUUGCACAUAUUUCUUGUCUGUUUUUGGCUCUUGUGGUAACUUCAUCACAUAAGUGCUGAUUCCGGUGUCUUGCAUUGAACCACAGUAAUGAAUUGCUGGACCUCCUUUCGCAUGUAUUUACUAAUUAUGCAUACAGAAUGCAUUUAUAUAUUUGAUUUUGUGGCUAACGGAUUGUCUAUAUUAAUGGGAUUUGGAGAGGGCAGUUAGGUACUAGAAGCUAUUAGGAGCUGUCACUGUAUCUUCAUGCUAUCCUCUUCACAUCGAAGCUCUCAUUUUUCUUUUUUGUUGUUGUACAUGCCUCUGGAUCGUUCAUCAAUCAAUGUGAUUUUGUAUUUUGCUGUGCUUAGAUUUUAUUUUUCAUUUUUUUCUUCUUUUCAUUUCUUUGCUAUGAGAUGGUAGAUUUGUGCCUUGGCGGUCAUUAUAAACUGUGGUUUCAUUUUACAUUUUGAAACAUUAGUCAUUUUGGCAUCCAAAAUAAUUUUAUGUGACAUUUCAAAUUUCCUAUGACAUCAAUUACUUUGUUUUGUUCUUGAACAUUGGUACAGUGACAUGGUAUAAGUGAUCUUUUAUACAUGCUCAUUUGGUGAUCAUUGUAACUCGUAAAGGAGGUCAUGAAAAUAAUUUUGACUAAUAUUAGUUUAAAUUUACUUUACUUGAUUGUGGCCCAGAUAAUGUAAUCAAAUGUGGUGCUCGGCAUUUGAAAAUUUUCUUAUUAUACAAUAUCUCCAAUGAUGCGUAUUUAGUGACAACUGAAUUAAUUUCUGGCUCUUGGAUAUGAGCUGGUUCAGAACUGACCUUAGAUGGUGAAUUUUUCAAUCUCAGAUGUUCAAUGUUCUGAAAAUGCAUGCAUGUCAUUUACGAGCAUUUACUUUGGAGAAACAGCAAGCAACAACAUGCAAGUUAAAUACUGUUUAUUAAGAUGGACAGCAGGAGAAGUGCUGCUUUUAGAGAUAGAAAAGAGAAUUGGAAAGUUUUUUGACAAAAAAAAAGCUUGGAAAAGAUUGAACAAGAGAUAGCAGAGACUGUAAUUGUGUUACUGGCCAAAGAAAAUUAUAUUCAUUUGUCAAUAGAAUCAUGCAUACGUCUGGUGAUUCCUCAUGUGAAGGAUUUUAUUUAUAAAUAUAUCUGAGAUAGUACUAAUCUGAUUAGGUUUCCCAAAAGAAGCCCUCUAAACAGCAGCUGCUUGCUUUGAUAAAAGUGUUUGGUUCAUCAAACCUCUUAGUUUCCUUAUUAUGCCUACCACCACAAUUUCCUUUUCAAACACACCAAAACAUUUCAACAAUCAUCAAAACCCCAAAUGGUUCAAAGGACUUGACUCUCACUAAAAGUACAAGCUGAGCAAACAAUUAGAAUGUGACUUGAUUUCCAAACCCCAAAGUAGACCCAAAAUUUCAAUGUGUUUGGUUAGGUGUAACCUUACAUCUUUAUGUCGGCAUAGUGUGGUCUCCUCUGCAGGCUGAUAACAACUCUCUUGGCAACUUGAUACAUGUUUGUACCUCAAAAGAUAUUGGUGUUCUUAUAUUUGAAUUACCAUUCCUGUAUUUCUACUAGUAGCAAUAGAAAAAUAUUUGAAUUUUCUUAAUUCAACCACAGAUGUUUUCUUACACAGAAUUCAUUGAUGCAAAGGAUGCAUAUAGCGGAUAUGACUUUUAUUAUUGUUGUGCUUGUUUGCACUUGCUCGUUUUAUUGGCAAAUUCUCACAGAUCUAGGUUAUGUUGGUGAAACUUCUCAGUAAGAAAUAUUUCUUCCUUAUUAAUGACAUCAAGGUAUUUUUAAUACUGUAGCUGAAGCUAUUUGCACGAGCUGUCUUUCUCUAAAAUUAAGUUCCUUUAUCAACAUUGAACCAAAUAAACUAGUAGCCUUUCUUGAUCGAGGCACCUUUCUUACCUCUUGGUUCAUUUUAUGGAAAAUUUGUUGCCUUUCUCAGGUCUUUCAGCUAAGUUGCAAUUUUUUGUCUAGUUGUAUUAACAAUGUCUUUUCUACUUACCAGUCUUUCUAGUUGUAGUAGGAAUUAGUGAUCUCUGAAAGAAAUGGCUAAUGGAAACUGAAUGCAGGUGGGUUAACGUGAGUGGUAGACGAAUGUCCUCUGAUCAGAUGAUUAGUUGAAAGUUUUCAACUUCCUUUUGGUUGGAAGCAGAUACAGAAAAUAUAUUAGUUUGGGUGCCCUUGAUUCGAGGUAGAAGAGGAAGCUGAACAUAGAGCAGGCAGCAAUAAGACUACUUUUCUUGUAUUUUUCUGCAAACAGUACGUGAUACUGCUUCAAAAGAUCAUGUUUUUGGUGCAAAAGAGGCUCUUUCGCUGUCUCCCAAGUAACAAGUCCACUAUCCAUCUUUCCUCCCAUCAACUUUGCAAUCUGUUUAACUUCUCCACUGCUAAAGACCAAAGUUCAGAGCAUAGUUCCAACUUUAUAGUGGUCGACUCCCUUCAUUCAUGUGAACUUUCCUCAGAGAAGGCUGCAAAAAAAGCCAAGUAUCACACCUGUCACAAAAAUUCUUCGAGUCUUUCCAUUGAGUUCUUUAAGCAGAGCGGUUGGAGUGAUGCACAAGUCAUGAAACUUAUCCAGAGGUCACCGCUGUUGCUGCGUACUAAGGUAGAGACUGUCCUGAAGCCCAGAAUGAGAUCUUUGAAGGACAUGGGAUUUUCUGACACUGAAAUAGUUCAGCUGGUUUCUUCAUGUCCAUCUGUACUACUUAUACGUGAUAUCCAACCAAAGAUCAACUUCUGGAGGUCACUACUUUGUUCUAAUGAGAGGUUACUGAAAGCCUCUAGGAGGAACUUGUUUCUACUUACUUCUAGCUUGGCUCGGAAGAUAAAACCUAAUAUAUCUCUCUUAAGGGAAUGUGGCAUCAGUGACAAACUCAUCGCGAAUAUGGUGGUGACAGGGCCAGCCAUUUUGGGUCGAUCAAACAAAUGUAUGAAGGAAGCUAUCAAAUAUGUUGAGGAGUUGGGUGUGCCACGUAACUGUAGAAUGUUCCCUUAUGCACUUAAAAUAGUCGCUGGCAUGAGCCGAUCCAGGUUUGAUGCUACCUUUGCAACCCUGAUGAACUUUGGGUUCUCCCAGUCAGACAUCAUUGAUGUAUUCAGGAAGCAACCAACCGUUUGGGUUUUCUCAAAGAAGAACAUUUGUGACAAGAUGACUUUCCUGAUGAAGGAAGCUGGUUGUGAGCUGACAUAUAUCAUUUCCCAUCCUGCGAUUCUUAUAUACAGCUUGGAGAAGAGGUUGAAACCUCGAUAUGAAAUUCUGAAUUUUCUUGAGCAGAAUAAAUUGCUGGAUAAAGUAAAUGGCCUGAUAACCAUGAUAAUGCUAUCGGAAAAGAAGUUCCGAAAUAAAUUUCUUUUCCUGCUUCGCGAGGAGAAAUAUAUUGCUCUAUAUGAUUCCUAUGUUGCUGCUGUGCAUGGAAAGCGCCAUGUUGUUGUGGAAAAUUAGGAUUGCAAGUGCUUCCUUAGACAAAGUGUGAACCUAUUGCAUACUGACUGUAUUAUUUAAUCAUGUAAAAUUUGUGACAAUUUAAAUUCUCUAAGAGUUACUUCUUACGGUAGAACGUCCAUGUUGAUUUUGAGAUUUCUUUUCUCUUUAUUCUUCGGUACAACAAAAGAUACUGAUUCUUUAAUGCAUAAAUAUAGAGAACCAAGGGGGAGAAGUCAUUAUUUAAGAAAGAAACAAAGGUAACUAAAAUAUUUCAGAUCUGUCGGUUGGUCAGUGUCCACUUCAUUGAGAGCGAGUUAAUUAGGAGAGUAUGAUUUGAAGAUAUCCUCCAACCCUUAUAAAUAUGCAUGUGAUCAACGUGCUCUAUUGUGAGAUUUAUUAUUAUAGUAUCAACUGUCACCUCUCUCUCUGUCUCUCUCUCUCAGCCCGUGACUGCAUGCAUCCCAAUAUUCGUUCUAGUCAUAUCCAGACUCACACAUUAUGAAUUUAAGAGCCAUCGGUCCAACUCAAGCUUGCUUCUUAAUGUUCAAUUUAAUGCACUAAGCAAUAUAUAUGCUUUAAGGUAACAACACUCUCUCGAGUGAAGUGAACGGGCCUCGGCGCCCACCUGAUUCAAAUCAGAGAGGACUAUAUUGGAUCUGAGCCCAACAUAAGUCACUGGAUCUGGUUCGAUGGAACCAAAUGAAGGACUCUCCUCUCUCACACACAACUAUAUCGAUGGCCACGCGUGCAAUGAGAAGACUCGUGGAAACCUAAUCAGCCACCGGCGGCACCGUCUUCCUCUCCAUCGGCGAAUGGCGGCGGCAGCAAUGUCUUCCUCAGCGGGCUCAUCGUUGGUAUCUUUCUCCUCCUCCUCCUCCUCCUUUGCCGUCGCCCACUCUGCCCCAACCGCCUCCCUCCAUCUUCCCGCCCACACAUUCGCCGCCAGCGUCCCCUCUUCUUCGCCUCGUCGUAGCCGUCUUCCCCCUUCCUCCCUGCGCCGGCGUUUUCCCUUCUCCUCCCUACGUCGGCGUCUUCUUUCAUUGUAUCAUCCUUUCACCCCCGCGGCCAGCGUCUUCUCCCCCCUUCGCUUCGCUGCAGCCGCCCCAGCAACCCAACCGACAAAGACAGCCACCUCAACCCACAGCAACCUUCUCCCGUACCUCCUCCUCCCUCUCCUUCUCCUCGGAUCCUUCAUCCUUGCCCCCCUCCCAACUGACAGCAACCCCUUCUUCAUCCUUCUCCUUCUACGUAAAUUGUUUU